rnacentral:rRNA from 1 species
GACGAACGCUGGCGGCGUGCUUAACACAUGCAAGUCGAACGGAAAGGCCCUGCUUGCAGGGUACUCGAGUGGCGAACGGGUGAGUAACACGUUGGUGAUCUGCCCUGCACUUCGGGAUAAGCCUGGGAAACUGGGUCUAAUACCGGAUAGGAGCCAUUUUGAGUGUGAUUGUUGGAAAGUUUUUUCGGUGUAGUAUGAGCUCGCGGCCUAUCAGCUUGUUGGUGGGGUAAUGGCCUACCAAGGCGGCGACGGGUAGCCGGCCUGAGAGGGUGGACGGCCACAGUGGGACUGGGAUACGGCCCAGACUCCUACGGGAGGCAGCAGUGGGGAAUAUUGCACAAUGGGCGCAAGCCUGAUGCAGCGACGCCGCGUGGGGGAUGACGGCCUUCGGGUUGUAAACUCCUUUCGCUAGGGACGAAGCUUUUUGUGACGGUACCUAGAUAAGAAGCACCGGCUAACUACGUG